CAAUAGAAGUAGAACGACCGGAGAUAGUCGUCUUCUCCAAUUCCGGCAACCACGGCCGCCGCCAUUGUCCGAAUGAUUCCGACGCCGUCCGGCCCUUCCUUUCCUCGAUUUCUUCACCAAUAUCCCCCUGGAGCACCUAUGAAUCCAUCCCCGUGCUCAAUUCUGCUCUGGAGCCACCGUGGGCGAAAGCCCCAAUUCGUCUCUGCCGGAGUUCUUCGGUUGAGCUCGUCGUCGGCAAACUCCGCCCACCCCUAUGACCAUGGCAAGCACCGAAAGGAUCGCCACGACGCCCCAAGCACACCAGUGUGCUCAGAACUCCGAGGGGAGCCGUCGUUCGCCAGCGAGGACCGCCGGAGCAGCCCCUCAGUUUUGUCGGAGAGGAAGGCGCGCGCGCGAACCAGUCAAACUUGACUAGUGGGCCAGGCGGGCCAACUGUCAGUGACUCAGCGUUGUGCCAGCUCAUUUUAAGUGAAAGAGUAUUCUGUGAAGUACGUCUUCCUACUCUGAAAAUGCAUUUCUAGCCGAACCAUUUUCUUUUCUGUUUUUAUUUAAAUUCAUAUUCGACCCUAACUUUGACUGCCUCUAUUUUUUAAACCACAACCCCAAUUGACUUGAUUCUUUUUCUAUUACUUCUAAAAUUUCAUCUAGUUUAUUUUAGUAUUUAUUUAAAAAAAUUCCAAACAACUUUUUAGCAUUGUUAUGGCUUUAUAUGGUAAUUGAAAUAUUUUGAAAAUAGGAAAUGGAGGGAAGAUAAGAUUUUCAAACAUUUGGAAUGCACCCAACACUUCUGCAUGCUCAAGGCAAGCAUUUUGAACACAUGAUAUGGUGACUGCAUAAUUAUUUCUGGCAUGCGUAUUUGAAUUAUGAAUAUGUUGAAUUCCUAUAGAGUUUGCAUAUUGUUGCUCAUACAUGCAUGAUCCCCUUAAUGAUAUUUUAUCUUCGCUUAAACAUGAAGUAUAAGCGAGUAUGAUUAUUUUCAUGUGCCACAUAUGCCCAUGUUGGUCAAGGCUAAAUUGCAGGAAGAAUCGGUCACGAGAAAAGUGACCGUGAGACUGAAAUCUCGUUGUGACGAGAAUGAUACAGUGAGAGUAUGUUGGGACAUACCAGGUGGUGACCCUAUUGGGUACUUCCAAGAGAAUAUAUUGUGGUAACCACUAUAGGGAAACUUCAACCUCCUGAGUUGACCAUAGAUCGAGUCUUAUUCCGGUACCCCCCAUACUGGUUUCGUGCUAGCACUUGUCCCUGCCACAAGUAGGGUAUUGUUCAGUAAGUUGUUAACCCCUUUCCCCGCACACAUCGUACAGAGAGACCACAAUGAAGGUUUACAGGUACCGGUUGCAAUGCCAGUCAACAUGUCAGGGGGCAUGGGUGUAUCCGGUUGGGUUGAGAGGGGGCACCCCUUAUAAUCCACGCGUGUUAAUAGUGAUCCCAUGCUACUCGAGACGAUGGUCUCCCCGCCUUAGAGUUUUUCUUGAACGAUGAUUUCGGUGAUUCCUGGCAUCUGGAAAGUUAAUAUGGUGUGUGCUGGUCAGGUGUGUUUUCAACCCAAAAGCCAUAACGGGAAUUAGUCAGCGUCUCGGUGUUGGCUAAAGAAAUCCUAUACACGUGGAUAAAGAGUACACCCUCUGUAGAGUUAUACCUAUUCGAAUAGCCGUGUCCAUGGUUAAGGACUACAGUCUGGGUUGGUCAAGUGUCGGUCUUAGUGUCAGUCUCCGGAGGAAAUAAUUAAAGUGAUCAUGGAUCCUUUUGCAGGAUAAUGAUUGUCACUACUGGGGCUAUUAUGAAUAUUGUUGUUGAUAUGAAUAAUAUUGUGGACUAACCUUUUCCUCUUAUGUUUAACCUCGAGUAUCCCUUGGGAUGGAUAGACUACACGAGAUACUCAAGUUUAUUUUCAUUUCUGAGUAUCACUUGGGAUGGCUAGUCCACCUGGAUACUCGUGUUAUUAUUUUUCAUAUAAGCCCUUUAUGAGGCGUCGCUUCGGACACCUGACUGUGCCAUGUAUUCUCAAGACCUCUCGAGGCGUCGCUAUUAGACAACCGCCAGGCAGUUAUUUUCAAGACCUCUCGAGGCGUCGCUUCCAGACACACGAUCAUGAUUCAGAGAGGAGUACUGUGAAGACACCCCACAACCUAGGAUCACAUUACGUGAAUCACAGGCACCGACGGGCCACAUUACGUGACCCUAAUUUCUCUGAAGAGGCGUUCAACGCCUUCAACUCAGGGGACGCGUACAUCCGAGCUGCUCAAGAUGGCCUUGCCAGAGCUAUGGACCAGUAUGUAAAGUACAUACAGGUUCUUAAAGAGAAGAAUACCCAGCUAUCUAAAGAGCUGGAAGAGUGCAAAGCCCAACUGCGGGCCGCAGUUGCAGGAAUGAAGGAGCCCUAGAAGGCCUCGUCUGACAAUCCCGGAAGUAAUCCGGAGAUCGUAUCGGAGGAUGACCCUCAUGCUCAACGACAGCUGAAAGCUGGCGAGUGUGUGCUUACAAAAGGUAUACGGGAGAAGAAUGAUCUCCAGGACGCGAAGACCAGGCUAGACGUUGAAUUAAAGGAUGUCCGGGGCCAACUUGCUGACUCCGUGAAGGAAAAUAAGUGGCUUCAACGCGGCAUUUUUAGUAUGCUGACAGGUCAUCCCGGAGAGGAGAUGCCCGGAUCUGCAGGCGAUCUUCUCCAAGAACUCUCACAACUGCACGAGCAAGUUCAGCAGGUGAUGCAAGGUAUUGCCCAUGCCUUGUGGCCUUCCGCAUCCCUGCCAGGAGGCAUGUGAGAGCUUGUGGAGAUGCUCAAGGGAGCACGGCGGCGCUUCCGAUUAUGGAAGGUGUCGGCCUGCCGACAAGGUGCAAGGGAAGCCUGGGCCAUGGUGAAGACACGAUACACAAAGGCUGACCCGAACCAUAUGGCCGAGGUCGGACCUGCAGGGCCAGAUGGGGCAGAGAUUCCCGUUAGUCUGGUAUAUGACCAGGUUUC